GGUCAAGUGAAGAAGCGCAUACGGUGGAUGCCUUGGCAGUCAGAGGCGAUGAAAGACGUGGUAGCCUGCGAAAAGCUUCGGGGAGUCGGCAAACAGACUUUGAUCCGGAGAUCUCUGAAUGGGGGAACCCACCUAGGAUAACCUAGGUAUCUUGUACUGAAUCCAUAGGUGCAAGAGGCGAACCAGGGGAACUGAAACAUCUAAGUACCCUGAGGAAAAGAAAUCAACCGAGAUUCCCUUAGUAGUGGCGAGCGAACGGGGAUUAGCCCUUAAGCUUCAUUGAUUUUAGCGGAACGCUCUGGAAAGUGCGGCCAUAGUGGGUGAUAGCCCCGUACGCGAAAGGAUCUUUGAAGUGAAAUCGAGUAGGACGGAGCACGAGAAACUUUGUCUGAACAUGGGGGGACCAUCCUCCAAGGCUAAAUACUACUGACUGACCGAUAGUGAACCAGUACCGUGAGGGAAAGGCGAAAAGAACCCCGGAGAGGGGAGUGAAAUAGAACCUGAAACCGUAUGCGUACAAGCAGUGGGAGCCUACUUGUUAGGUGACUGCGUACCUUUUGUAUAAUGGGUCAGCGACUUAUAUUCAGUGGCAAGCUUAACCGUAUAGGGUAGGCGUAGCGAAAGCGAGUCUUAAUAGGGCGUUUAGUCGCUGGGUAUAGACCCGAAACCGGGCGAUCUAUCCAUGAGCAGGUUGAAGGUUAGGUAACACUGACUGGAGGACCGAACCCACUCCCGUUGAAAAGGUAGGGGAUGACUUGUGGAUCGGAGUGAAAGGCUAAUCAAGCUCGGAGAUAGCUGGUUCUCCUCGAAAGCUAUUUAGGUAGCGCCUCAUGUAUCACUCUGGGGGGUAGAGCACUGUUUCGGCUAGGGGGUCAUCCCGACUUACCAAACCGAUGCAAACUCCGAAUACCCAGAAGUGCCGAGCAUGGGAGACACACGGCGGGUGCUAACGUCCGUCGUGAAAAGGGAAACAACCCAGACCGCCAGCUAAGGUCCCAAAGUUGUGGUUAAGUGGUAAACGAUGUGGGAAGGCUUAGACAGCUAGGAGGUUGGCUUAGAAGCAGCCAUCCUUUAAAGAAAGCGUAAUAGCUCACUAGUCGAGUCGGCCUGCGCGGAAGAUGUAACGGGGCUCAAACCACACACCGAAGCUGCGGGUGUCACGUAAGUGACGCGGUAGAGGAGCGUUCUGUAAGCCUGUGAAGGUGAGUUGAGAAGCUUGCUGGAGGUAUCAGAAGUGCGAAUGCUGACAUGAGUAACGACAAUGGGUGUGAAAAACACCCACGCCGAAAGACCAAGGGUUCCUGCGCAACGUUAAUCGACGCAGGGUUAGUCGGUUCCUAAGGCGAGGCUGAAAAGCGUAGUCGAUGGGAAACAGGUUAAUAUUCCUGUACUUCUGGUUACUGCGAUGGAGGGACGGAGAAGGCUAGGCCAGCUUGGCGUUGGUUGUCCAAGUUUAAGGUGGUAGGCUGAAAUCUUAGGUAAAUCCGGGGUUUCAAGGCCGAGAGCUGAUGACGAGUCGUCUUUUAGAUGACGAAGUGGUUGAUGCCAUGCUUCCAAGAAAAGCUUCUAAGCUUCAGGUAACCAGGAACCGUACCCCAAACCGACACAGGUGGUCGGGUAGAGAAUACCAAGGCGCUUGAGAGAACUCGGGUGAAGGAACUAGGCAAAAUGGCACCGUAACUUCGGGAGAAGGUGCGCCGGCUAGGUGAAGGAUUUACUCCGUAAGCUCUGGCUGGUCGAAGAUACCAGGCCGCUGCGACUGUUUAUUAAAACACAGCACUCUGCAAACACGAAAGUGGACGUAUAGGGUGUGACGCCUGCCCGGUGCCGGAAGGUUAAUUGAUGGGGUUAGCGCAAGCGAAGCUCUUGAUCGAAGCCCCGGUAAACGGCGGCCGUAACUAUAACGGUCCUAAGGUAGCGAAAUUCCUUGUCGGGUAAGUUCCGACCUGCACGAAUGGCGUAACGAUGGCGGCGCUGUCUCCACCCGAGACUCAGUGAAAUUGAAAUCGCUGUGAAGAUGCAGUGUAUCCGCGGCUAGACGGAAAGACCCCGUGAACCUUUACUGUAGCUUUGCACUGGACUUUGAGCCUGCUUGUGUAGGAUAGGUGGGAGGCUUUGAAGCGUGGACGCCAGUUCGCGUGGAGCCAUCCUUGAAAUACCACCCUGGCAUGCUUGAGGUUCUAACUCUGGUCCGUGAUCCGGAUCGAGGACAGUGUAUGGUGGGCAGUUUGACUGGGGCGGUCUCCUCCUAAAGAGUAACGGAGGAGUACGAAGGUGCGCUCAGACCGGUCGGAAAUCGGUCGCAGAGUAUAAAGGCAAAAGCGCGCUUGACUGCGAGACAGACACGUCGAGCAGGUACGAAAGUAGGUCUUAGUGAUCCGGUGGUUCUGUAUGGAAGGGCCAUCGCUCAACGGAUAAAAGGUACUCCGGGGAUAACAGGCUGAUACCGCCCAAGAGUUCAUAUCGACGGCGGUGUUUGGCACCUCGAUGUCGGCUCAUCACAUCCUGGGGCUGAAGCCGGUCCCAAGGGUAUGGCUGUUCGCCAUUUAAAGUGGUACGCGAGCUGGGUUUAGAACGUCGUGAGACAGUUCGGUCCCUAUCUGCCGUGGACGUUUGAGAUUUGAGAGGGGCUGCUCCUAGUACGAGAGGACCGGAGUGGACGAACCUCUGGUGUUCCGGUUGUCACGCCAGUGGCAUUGCCGGGUAGCUAUGUUCGGAAAAGAUAACCGCUGAAAGCAUCUAAGCGGGAAACUUGCCUCAAGAUGAGAUCUCACUGGGAACUUGAUUCCCCUGAAGGGCCGUCGAAGACUACGACGUUGAUAGGCUGGGUGUGUAAGCGUUGUGAGGCGUUGAGCUAACCAGUACUAAUUGCCCGUGAGGCUUGACCAU
rnacentral:rRNA from 1 species